GACGAACGCUGGCGGCGUGCUUAACACAUGCAAGUCGAACGGAAAGGCCCUGCUUUUGUGGGGUGCUCGAGUGGCGAAGGGGUGAGUAACACGUGAGUAACCUGCCCUUGACUUUGGGAUAAAUCCAGGAAACUGGGGCUAAUACCGGAUAGGAGCUCCUGCUGCAUGGUGGGGGUUGGAAAGUUUCGGCGGUUGGGGAUGGACUCGCGGCUUAUCAGCUUGUUGGUGGGGUAGUGACUUACCAAGGCUUUGACGGGUAGCCGGCCUGAGAGGGUGACCGGCCACAUUGGGACUGCGAUACGGCCCAGACUCCUACGGGAGGCAGCAGUGGGGAAUAUUGCACAAUGGGCGGAAGCCUGAUGCAGCAGCGCCGCGUGCGGGAUGACGGCCUUCGGGCUGUAAACCGCUUUCGCCUGUGACGAAGCGUGAGUGACGGUAAUGGGUAAAGAAGCACCGGCUAACUACGUG
rnacentral:rRNA from 1 species